rnacentral:rRNA from 1 species
CUACGGGCCGCUGCAGUGAGGAAUAUUGCACAAUGGGGGGAACCCUGAUGCAGCAACGCCGCGUGGAGGAUGACGCAUUUCGGUGUGUAAACUCCUUUUAUAUGUCAAGAAAAUGACGGUAGCAUAUGAAUAAGCACCGGCUAACUCCGUGCCAGCAGCCGCGGUAGUACGGAGGGUGCAAGCGUUACUCGGAAUCACUGGGCGUAAAGGACGCGUAGGCGGGGCGGAAAGUCAGGUGUGAAAUCCUACAGCUUAACUGUAGAACUGCACUUGAAACUUCUAAUCUAGAGUAUGGGAGGGGGAGAUGGAAUUAGUGGUGUAGGGGUAAAAUCCGUAGAUAUCACUAGGAAUACCUAAAGCGAAGGCGAUCUCCUGGAACAUUACUGACGCUAAGGCGUGAAAGCGUGGGGAGCAAACAGGAUUAGAUACCCCUGUAGUC